rnacentral:rRNA from 1 species
CCCUACGGGGUGCACCAGGCGAGAAAACUUUGCAAUGUGCGAAAGCACGAUAAGGUUAAUCCGAGUGGUUUGUGCUAAACGAACCUUUUGUCGGUCCUAGAAACACCGAUGAAUAAGGGGUGGGCAAGUUCUGGUGUCAGCCGCCGCGGUAAAACCAGCACCUCAAGUGGUCAGGAUGAUUAUUGGGCCUAAAGCAUCCGUAGCCGGCUCUGUAAGUUUUCGGUUAAAUCUGUACGCUCAACGUACAGGCUGCCGGGAAUACUGCAGAGCUAAGGAGUGGGAGAGGUAGACGGUACUCGGUAGGAAGGGGUAAAAUCCUUUGAUCUAUUGAUGACCACCUGUGGCGAAGGCGGUCUACCAGAACACGUCCGACGGUGAGGGAUGAAAGCUGGGGGAGCAAACCGGAUUAGAUACCCGGGUAGUCCCAGCUGUAAACUAUGCAAACUCAGUGAUGCAUUGGCUUGUGGCCAAUGCAGUGCUGCAGGGAAGCCGUUAAGUUUGCCGCCUGGGAAGUACGUACGCAAGUAUGAAACUUAAAGGAACUGGCGGGGGAGCACCACAAGGGGUGAAGCCUGCGGUUCAAUUGGAGUCAACGCCAGAAAUCUUACCCGGAGAGACAGCAGAAUGAAGGUCAAGCUGAAGACUUUACCAGACAAGCUGAGAAGUAGUGCAUGGCC